UACGUAGGGGGCAAGCGUUGUCCGGAAUCAUUGGGCGUAAAGCGCGUGUAGGCGGCCCGGUAAGUCCGCUGUGAAAGUCCAGGGCUCAACCCUGGAAUGCCGGUGGAUACUGUCGGGCUCGAGUCCGGAAGAGGCGAGUGGAAUUCCUGGUGUAGCGGUGAAAUGGCGCAGAUAUCAGGAGGAACACCGGUGGCGAAGGCGGGUCUCUGGGCCGAUGACUGACGCUGAGGAGCGAAAGCGUGGGGAGCGAACAGGA
rnacentral:rRNA from 1 species